ensembl:lncRNA
CCUAGGCAAGUUUCCUGACUUUGUGUGCCCCCAAAUACACAGAUUGAACAAGUAAAAAUCUUUAACCAUUUACUUUUGUGUGUUUGCAGCUAGAAAACUGGAACUAUGCCAUUUAAUUAGGGAAGUAUCCUGUCAAAUUCUCUCUGUUUGGCAUUGGAGUGCAAGGUCUGAAAGAUGGAAAUCAAACCCUGACUUAAGCUUUGGUCUGGCAGCUAAUAAGGAGUGUGAAUCUCUUCCCAUGUAAUCUUUAAUCUCUGAAAUCUAAGGAAAAGAAGUAAAAGAUAAGGGCACAAUAAAGGGCAGAAACGGCAUGGACCUAAAAGAAGC